rnacentral:lncRNA from 1 species
CAUCUACGCAUCUGGCCCCACAAAGCCUGGUUUCACCCCCGAACAGACGGUCCUCUGCGCCUUGUCCUGCUCUGACCACGUCCUCCCUCCCCUCUCCGCUGGUGUGUGAAGUGCCCACUGCAUACGGCGGUGAGUGAAACAGACCCGGUGGCUUCCCGCCUGGAUGGAAGGAAGACACCCAACAAACCAAACCAUGCUUGUAGAUUUACAGGACGCUGUGGGAGAGGAAAAGGCAGGAAACGUCAAAGGAGCACUGUUUCGGCUGAGAGCUGAAGACUCCCACCACCUGCUUCAGACAAGAUGUGGCAGCCCUGAUGAGAGCUCCGAUCUCAUUACCACCCUCUUCCCGGAGACCAGGCUCUUGGCGUCAGGACUGUUUCCAGCCACUCUUCAGUUCCACGUGUGCAGGAAUCGUUUGGGAUACACCCAGGAUCCUACCAAUGUCUUUUUUAAGGAGGUACAGGAGAUGGCACCCCGGAGCUCGUCCAUGGGAAGCAGGUGCUCAAGUCACUGAGCCACACCUGCUCCCCCACUCGUGGCGUGACUGGCCCUAAGCACGCGAUGGCUUUAUGCACACUACGCACGAAGUUAAAAAUAAAAAUUUAUGUUUUGAUCUCACAGU